UACGUAGGGUGCAAGCGUUGUCCGGAAUUAUUGGGCGUAAAGGGCUCGUAGGUGGCCAACUAAGUCAGACGUGAAAUCCCUCAGCUUAACUGGGGAACUGCGUCUGAUACUGGAUGGCUUGAGUUUGGGAGAGGGAUGCGGAAUUCCUGGUGUAGCGGUGAAAUGCGCAGAUAUCAGGAGGAACACCGGUGGCGAAGGCGGCGUUCUGGACUGCAACUGACACUGAUGAACGAAAGCCAGGGGAGCAAACGGG
rnacentral:rRNA from 1 species